UGCGCAGGUGGGGGUGUAAGUCAGUGGUGAAAUGUUGCCGCUCAACGGUAAAAUUGCCAUUGAUACUGCAUCUCUUGAGUAUGGUUGAGGUAGGCGGUAUGUGUUGUGUAGCGGUGAAAUGCAUAGAUAUGACACAGAACACCGAUUGCGAAGGCAGCUUACUAAGCCAUUACUGACGCUGAGGCACGAAAGCGUGGGGAGCGAACAGGAUUAGAUACCCUGGUAGUCC
rnacentral:rRNA from 1 species